GAUGAAGAACGUAGCGAAAUGCGAUAAGUAAUGUGAAUUGCAGAAUUCCGUGAAUCAUCGAAUCUUUGAAUGCACAUUGCGCCCCCUGGUAUUCCGGGGGGCAUGCCUGUCCGAGCGUCAUUGCAACCUUCAAGCGCGGCUUGUGUGUUGGGUCUCGUCCCCCGUGGACGGGCCCGAAAGGCAGUGGCGGCGUCCCGACAUGGUGCCCGAGCGUAUGGGAAUCCUCUUCCGCUCGAAUCGGCCCAUGCGGCGCUGGUCGUAACCAAAUUUUUUACCGGUUGACCUCGGAUCAGGUAGGGAUACCCGCUGAACUUAAGCAUAUCAAUAAGCGGAGGA
rnacentral:misc_RNA from 1 species